rnacentral:ncRNA from 2 species
UGAAUCCGCGCGGGAGAGACCCCGGAACACCGGGGCGCCGAAGGAGCAAGUACCUCCCUUGAAUCUCUCAGGCCCCGUUACCGCGCGGGCGAG